AGAUGAAACCGGAUCGCAUCAAAACAAUCGCACGAAUGGGUUUGAACAGUAAGUGAGUAAACUGAUGUUUUGAUGAGUAGCUCUGAUAAGGGCGGGAAAGGUUAGCACUCGAGUCGAGUGAGUGCGUAAUGAUGCAAGUUUAUAGUGUUUUGUAGAUGGAGGCGACAGUAGCUGACAAGGGAUCACGUUUUGCAACACUUGAGAAGGAUUAACUUGGCAGCAAACGGUGCGGUACAAUAAUAUCAAUAAAAUGGAGAGUUUGCUUGAAUUUGAACAACGCUUAUGAUGAGUGCCGAAACCGGAAAGGUACUGGAAUUGAAUAUUGCCGGCAGUGAUAAGCGUUAAAUUAGCUUCGGUAGCACACCAAGGUUCCAAUAAAUAAUGGCAUCGCCAUGAGAAGGGGUGUUGUUUCGAUCAUAUACAUCGAGUGGAAUAGCACUUCAGGCAGGAUCAUCACGCUUUGUUAAUUAUAAAAACUAUAAUUAAAAUAAAAUUUAAUAAUGCAUAACAUUUUUAUAAUUCUUUUUAGGUUUCUAGAGGGUCAACAAAACAAGGCUAAGGAUCUGCGACCGAACAAGAUGAAAAAGCUUUAUUAAGUAUUAGCUGAAAAAAAUCAACAGAUAUUAUACAAAAUCUGGAUAAAUUAAACUCAAAUCAGUAUUGAAGUUAUGAACUUCACGAUCGCACUUAAUUGAGCAAUAAGGCGGACCACCGUGGAGAACCCGUCUUAAGAUAUCAAAGGGAAUAACAUUCUAGAUUGUUUUGCAAAGAGACGUGAAGAUUAUCUUUGGUAAGUCAGCAGUACAAUAUUGCAUACCAUGCGUCUCCAUCUCAAUCAUUGAAAAAAAUGAUUUCCGGCUUUGGCGCAGUUCACCACACUACACGCUGCGACAUUUCGUAGGUACAACUUUGACUCCGCCCCCAACAAAUUUGGUUCGGUCGGAGUAUAGUGGACUAUUGUACGUUGUACGACUGUUGGACAGACGGUUUCAAAGUUGUAAAGUUCGUCGGAUGAAAUCAAAACCGUUUGAUUUUGCUCAGACUGGUGGGCCUAGUCAAAUGUUUUACAGAACAAAAAAGGUCUAUUAGAAAAUUUCUUCUGCGAGCGGCGGGAUUUGUUUUUAGAAUCAUUUGUUGUCGAACCCUCCGUAUAUUCUUGCUGGGUGGGAUAGGAAACCUUCCGACUCAUAAUGGAAAUCGCGGCAGCUAUAUCUGGACGGGUUUUCACAGUGAUAUACAAUAGCUGUUCUACCACUUUCUGUACAACAGAUUUUACCAAUGCAUCGAUGUUCUUGGGUUGACUUUGGUGAAAGUCUCCAGCUUCAUCUCGCACCACUUCAAUGCCCAGGUAAUGUCGGACAUUCCAAAGGCAACUGAUUUUGAAGUUUCGCUUGAGCGUUGCCUCCAAGGUUUUGGUGAUCCAGCCAUCAAUCAGGUCAUUGACGUAAACGAGAACGUAACACCACCUUCCUCUAAACUGCUUUCGAUACAAGCAAGGAUCUGCAGCAUACUAUUGGAAACUAGUUAGUUUGAAGACCUCUUGAAGGCGAUGAUUCCACGAGCGUACAGCCAGCUUCAAACCAAAGGGCGUUUCUUCGAUCGGCAGACCUUGCUGUCCAACUGCACAUCCAGGGGGCUGUCUCAUGAAAAUCUCCUCCUCAAGGUUGCCGUGGAGAAAGGCCGUCUUCACAUCGUACUGCUUAACCAUCAUUUUUUGUUUCGCCGCAACAGACAUCAGGGUCCGAAACGUAGUUUAUUGUUUAUUUAUUAUUGUUUAUUUUAUUUCGUCAACCAACGUAGACUAGUACAUAUACAUAUACAUGUUUGUUUUUGUAAUGCUAUAGUAUAAUUAAAUAAUAGGUUUUUUAGUAAAGUGAUAUAUAAUUUUGAUUUUGAAUUUAUAUUGCUGAAUUUGUAAUGUUUGUUCUUUAGAAAUACUGUCUAAUGUUAUGCCGAGACAUUGUUAAGUCAAUAGUUUCGCAGUGUUGAUUGUAAACGGCCAUCAUUCGGUUGAGAGGCCCAAAUUUGGCGUAAUUUGUUCGGCAGUGGUUGGUUAAAAAUAAUGUUCUAUGUCGAAGUAGCCGAGAAGGUAUGUAAAAGUUAAAUUUCGAUAAAAUUUCAGUUGAAUCAACAUGUUGAGAAACUAUAUCGUUAACAAAUGAAACCGUUGCACAUUCUCGACGUUCUUUCAAAGUUUGUAUAUUUAUAAGCAUGCAACGUGCUUCAUAAGAUGGAAGAGGAAAUGACGUCCAACCUAAUUUACGAAGAGCGUAUAAUAGAAAUUGUUUUUGCACUGACUCUAUUCUUUCUUCAUGUGUGGUUGUAUAAGGCGACCAUACAAUGCUACAAUAUUCCAGUAUAGAUCGUACAUAUGAAAUAUAUAGUGUUUUGAUUGUGUAGGGAUCCUGAAAGUUGAA